rnacentral:lncRNA from 1 species
GAGGAUGAUAGUGUUAUUUUGAUGAUUAACAAGCAAUAAUCAAGAGUAUGUUACAAGUUAAUUCGAUACUUCAUUUAUAAGUCUGUUACUCUCAGUAUAUUUGUAUAAAUGUAUUUCAUUGUUUAUUUGGAUGAAUCUAACAUUGAGUUGCAGCAAAGUGUGGAUUGAGUCGACCCCAAGGAUGAUUGGGUCGACCCCGGCACA